rnacentral:rRNA from 1 species
CAUGCAGUCGGACGGUAGCACAGAGGAGCUUGCUCCUCGGGUGACGAGUGGCGGACGGGUGAGUAAUGUCUGGGGAUCUGCCCGAUAGAGGGGGAUAACCACUGGAAACGGUGGCUAAUACCGCAUAACGUCGCAAGACCAAAGAGGGGGACCUUCGGGCCUCUCACUAUCGGAUGAACCCAGAUGGGAUUAGCUAGUAGGCGGGGUAACGGCCCACCUAGGCGACGAUCCCUAGCUGGUCUGAGAGGAUGACCAGCCACACUGGAACUGAGACACGGUCCAGACUCCUACGGGAGGCAGCAGUGGGGAAUAUUGCACAAUGGGCGCAAGCCUGAUGCAGCCAUGCCGCGUGUAUGAAGAAGGCCUUCGGGUUGUAAAGUACUUUCAGCGGGGAGGAAGGCGAUGUGGUUAAUAACCGCAUUGAUUGACGUUACCCGCAGAAGAAGCACCGGCUAACUCCGUGCCAGCAGCCGCGGUAAUACGGAGGGUGCAAGCGUUAAUCGGAAUUACUGGGCGUAAAGCGCACGCAGGCGGUCUGUUAAGUCAGAUGUGAAAUCCCCGGGCUUAACCUGGGAACUGCAUUUGAAACUGGCAGGCUUGAGUCUCGUAGAGGGGGGUAGAAUUCCAGGUGUAGCGGUGAAAUGCGUAGAGAUCUGGAGGAAUACCGGUGGCGAAGGCGGCCCCCUGGACGAAGACUGACGCUCAUGUGCGAAAGCGUGGGGAGCAAACAG